UACGGAGGGUGCGAGCGUUAUCCGGAAUUACUGGGUUUAAAGGGUGCGUAGGCGGCUUGGUAAGUCAGGAGUGAAAGUUUGCGGCUCAACCGUAAAAUUGCUUUUGAUACUGCAUGGCUAGAAUUAGGAUGAGGUCAGCGGAAUGUGGCAUGUAGCGGUGAAAUGCAUAGAUAUGCCAUAGAACACCAAUUGCGAAGGCAGCUGGCUAGACCUGGAUUGACGCUGAGGCACGAAAGCGUGGGGAGCGAACAGG
rnacentral:rRNA from 1 species